rnacentral:rRNA from 1 species
CCUACGGGAGGCAGCAGUAGGGAAUAUUGCUCAAUGGGGGAAACCCUGAAGCAGCAACGCCGCGUGGAGGAUGAAGGUUUUCGGAUUGUAAACUCCUUUUGUUAGAGAAGAUAAUGACGGUAUCUAACGAAUAAGCACCGGCUAACUCCGUGCCAGCAGCCGCGGUAAUACGGAGGGUGCAAGCGUUACUCGGAAUCACUGGGCGGAAAGAGCGCGUAGGCGGGAUAGAAAGUCAGAUGUGAAAUCCUAUGGCUUAACCAUAGAACUGCAUUUGAAACUGUUAUUCUAGAGUAUGGGAGAGGUAGGUGGAAUUCUUGGUGUAGGGGUAAAAUCCGUAGAGAUCAAGAGGAAUACUCAUUGCGAAGGCGACCUGCUAGAACAUAACUGACGCUGAUGCGCGAAAGCGUGGGGAGCAAACAGGAUUAGAUACCCCGGUAGUC